rnacentral:rRNA from 1 species
GAUGAACGCUAGCGGCAGGCCUAAUACAUGCAAGUCGAACGGUAAGGCCCUUUCGGGGGUACACGAGUGGCGGACGGGUGCGUAACGCGUAUGCAACAUGCCUUCCAGCGGGGGAUAUACCAGGGAAACUUGGCGCAAUACCCCAUAGAAUUACGGGACCGCAUGGUCUUGUGAUUAAAACUCCGGUGCUGGGAGAUUGGCAUGCGUGACAUUAGCUAGUUGGCGGGGUAACGGCCCACCAAGGCGACGAUGUCUAGCUGGUCUGAGAGGAUGAUCAGCCACACUGGGACUGAGACACGGCCCAGACUCCUACGGGAGGCUGCAGUCGAGAAUCUUCCGCAAUGGGCGAAAGCCUGACGGAGCGACGCCGCGUGGAGGACGAAGGCCUUAGGGUUGUAAACUCCUGUCACCGAUUAUGAAUGGCAAUACGUGAAUAUCGUAUUGUUUGACGUAAGUCGGGGAGGAAGCACCGGCUAACUCUGUGCCAGCAGCCGCGGUAA